AUUGAACGCUGGCGGCAGGCCUAACACAUGCAAGUCGAGCGAGUGGCGGACGGGUGAGUAAUGUCUGGGAAACUGCCUGAUGGAGGGGGAUAACUACUGGAAACGGUAGCUAAUACCGCAUACCAUCGGAUGUGCCCAGAUGGGAUUAGCUAGUAGGUGGGGUAAAGGUCUACCAAGGCGACGAUCCGUAACUGGUCUGAGAGGAUGAUCAGUCACACUGGAACUGAGACACGGUCCAGACUCCUACGGGAGGCAGCAGUGGGGAAUAUUGCACAAUGGGCGCAAGCCUGAUGCAGCCAUGCCGCGUGUAUGAAGAAGGCCUUCGGGUUGUAAAGUACUUUCAGCGGGGAGGCGUUACCCGCAGAAGAAGCACCGGCUAACUCCGUGCCAGCAGCCGCGGUAAUUC
rnacentral:rRNA from 1 species